rnacentral:rRNA from 1 species
UACGGAGGGGGCUAGCGUUGUUCGGAAUUACUGGGCGUAAAGGGCUUGUAGGCGGCCAACUAAGUCAUACGUGAAAUCCCUCGGCUUAACCGGGGAACUGCGUCUGAUACUGGAUGGCUUGAGUUCGGGAGAGGGAUGCGGAAUUCCAGGUGUAGCGGUGAAAUGCGUAGAUAUCUGGAGGAACACCGGUGGCGAAGGCGGCAUCCUGGACCGAUACUGACGCUGAGGAGCGAAAGCCAGGGGAGCAAACGGG